rnacentral:tRNA from 1 species
GGAGAGGUGGCCGAGUGGUUGAAGGCGCUGCACUGGAAAUGCAGUUUAGUGGUAAAGCCGCUAACGAGGGUUCGAAUCCCUCCCUCUCCG